CCUACGGGAGGCUGCAGUGAGGAAUAUUGGUCAAUGGGCGAGAGCCUGAACCAGCCAAGUCGCGUGAGGGAGUACUGCCCUAUGGGUUGUAAACCUCUUUUGUCGGGGAGCAAAAGCCGGACGUGUCCGGCUGUGAGAGUACCCGAAGAAAAAGCAUCGGCUAACUCCGUGCCAGCAGCCGCGGUAAUACGGAGGAUGCGAGCGUUAUCCGGAUUUAUUGGGUUGAAAGGGUGCGCAGGCGGAUUUUUAAGUCAGCGGUAAAAUCGUGGGGCUCAACCCCAUCCAGCCGUUGAAACUGGGGAUCUAGAGUGUGCGAGAGGUAUGCGGAAUGCGUGGUGUAGCGGUGAAAUGCAUAGAUAUCACGCAGAACCCCGAUCGCGAAGGCAGCAUACCGGUGCACAACUGACGCUCAGGCACGAAAGCGUGGGUAUCGAACAGGAUUAGAUACCCCAGUAGUC
rnacentral:rRNA from 1 species